UACGUAGGGGGCGAGCGUUGUCCGGAUUUAUUGGGCGUAAAGAGCGUGUAGGCGGCCAGGUAGGUCUGCUGUGAAAACUCGAGGCUCAACCUCGAGACGUCGGCGGAAACCAUCUGGCUAGAGUCCGGAAGAGGAGAGUGGAAUUCCUGGUGUAGCGGUGAAAUGCGCAGAUAUCAGGAGGAACACCGGUGGCGAAGGCGGUUCUCUGGGCCUUACCUGACGCUGAAGAACGAAAGCUAGGGGAGCAAACAGG
rnacentral:rRNA from 1 species